rnacentral:lncRNA from 1 species
UUUAACUUUAUUUUAUUUGCUUCUGGGUCAAAGUCUAUUUUUUCAGGGACGAUGAUCACACAGAAACUUUGACCUUGGAAACUAACAACGAAACAAUUUCCAGGCAACAACUUAUAAUUAACAUUAUUGUAGCUACUACCAUUGUGAUAAUAUUUUAUUGACACGGCUAGAGAUGAAUUUUCCACAAAAUCGGAACUUUCAACCAGGGGCGGACCCAGAGCUUUAUAUUACCCAGGGCUAAAUUAAAAAUUUUAUAUUUUGGAAUGAACAUAAACAUUUAUAAGUAAAAAAAGUACAUCAAAUAAGGGGAUACAAAAAACCCUAUAAAUAUAUACUUUAAAUAAAAAUAAGUAUACAAAAAGACUAAAAAAUAAAAGAUAAUUCAAAUAUAAAAAUACUAUUUUUUUUAAUUAUGGAAUAUAACAUUGAAACAUAUAUUAACAUCUAAUUAUAUAAGAAUUAAAAAAUCAAUUAAGAAUUUCAAGUUUGAAUAAAUCAAUACAUGUAAUUAUAAUCAAUUAAAAUAUUGCAAAUAGAACUUUAUGUUUGAAAAGUACUUAAUUACCAAGCUUAAAUAAAUUAAACAAUUAAAAUUUAUUCAUCUUUUUAAAUUAUAAAAAUAUUAGUUGUCAAGAGUUUCAAUAAUAAAUUAAACUCUAACCUAGUAAAAAGGUAUUUAUGCGCCAUUAUUUAUUUGCCAGGCACUUUGACUCACUUUAAAAAAUCAUAUCAAAAUACUCAAAUGUUAUUUUCUAACUUAUCCUCUUAGUUAAUGUAACUAAUAAAUAAAAUCUCAACAUUCACAUAAAAAUUUUAUGAAAUUGUUAAUAAUUUUUAUUAUAUAUCUUUUUAGUAUUUUUAAUACUAGUGACAAUGUUAUAUUACAUUGACAUACUUUUUUAAAUUAAAAUUUUAAAAACAAAUUAAAGUAGUAAUAACAUUUUAGACCCCUAAUGUUUUCAUUCUAUUCAAUAAGUAUAUAAUUUAAUCAUUUUAUAAAAUAAGCCACUAAUAAAAAAAUAUAAUUGAAUUAGGGAUAUAUUUAAAAAUAAAGUAAAAACUCUAUUAUUUUAUGAAAUUGGAUGAAAACAUAAAAGCAACUGAAUUAGGGACUUAUAUAAAAAUAAAGUAAAAACUCUAUUCUUAUAUAGAAUAAUCUAAAGACAAGGGGUUUAAAUGGUUGUUUCUGGACUAGACCGGGCUACAGCCCGGUCUAGCCCAGCUGUAGGUCCGCCACUGCUUUCAACAAGUGUAUACGUACACAUGGGGAGCAUAUAAAAAAUUAUCUGGAAGAAUAGAAUUUCAAACUUUUGGACAAAAUUUUAUCUGCUAUCUUCUUCCUGAGUAAGAAAAACUUAUGCUUCUAAGGUUAAUUUGAAUCCCAAAUCAUGGUCAACUUUCAAUCAGCAGAACGGCUAGCAUGUUCAAUAUUACUACAAGUCAUUCGGUUGCCUGUACAAACAACUAAAGUUGAGCUGCAAGUUCACACUUUAGUUUUCCCGCGAUGCAUCCGCAUUCACUUCUUCAUAUGUACCAGUUUCCUCGUUGAACGAAUACCUGCAUAAAGAACACUUUAUUUUCAGAAUAGUUCUACAUAUUAUAAGGAACAGUGCAUAUCUUCUACUAGCAUCAAGAGGUAUUGCUGCAUUUUAAAUUUAAUGCCUAAAACAGGAUCCCACAAGCUACCAAGAAAAAUAGAAACAUUUGUAUCUCUACAAGGUCUUAAAAAUGCUACGAAAGAUUUUAAUAAUGAAAAACCACCUCUCACAAGAAAAAAAUCGUUUAUGUUUCACUAUGUCCAAGAAACUAAUCGUAUUAAGUGAAAAGUUACUUCUUAGUAAUUUAGAAUAGAAAAAGGCAUAUGAUUAUUUGCCUACUUUUCUAUCUGAGGACAAGCAUAAAGCAUUUGCUACCAAAUCAAUUUUGCACUUUCCAGACCAAGCAGUGUGAAUUUAGAAGUUCCCAGCAAGAAAAAAAGAAAAAGCCAAAAAUACGUUAAAAGAAAUAUGCAGUCAUACCAUUGCCCUGAAACAGCCGAGCAGUAAAGUCCAGUAGAUGGGUCAUAGUAAUAGCCCAAACUGCUGCUGUAAUAGUAACUGAAGGCACAAUUCAAGAUAUAACCGUUAGUACUACUGGAUAUGUGAGGACUGAAUAUCAUAAGAUUCAGCUGUAGACAAAGCAACAUCAGAAGGCAUAAGGAAAAGACAGUUGGAAAUGACAAUCCGAAAAACUUGUAAUAUUAUCAACAGCAGAGAGAACUCACUCUCACAAGCUGAGCUCAGAGCAUCUGAUGAUGAUUGACUGGCUGCAUUUGAAUUAGGACCCAAAACUGUAUUAAGCUCAUCAGAUGAUGGCUUCACAGUAGCAUCUUCAUCAUCAUCAGCAAACAUAUCAUACGCAUCAGCCUUUUCCUUUGACUGAGCUAACCUCUCAUAUCCUUCUGUAAAAGAGGAAAAAAUGCAUAAUCAAUCAAUAAGCCUCUUAUUUCUCUCCCCCUCUACCCAAACUUGCAUACAAAUGUGAAUGAAGAAAACGGUUAUUAUCUAUCUAUUUUAUUUUUUUUUUGUGGGGGGGGGCAGUUAAACCGAGUUAGUGCAAAUAAAAAUAGAAUGUAGAACCAACGUUGAAAAGAAAUGUUGUUCAACUUAUUUCUGAAAAACAUGUGAUACAAACUAAUUAAUUUGUAUCGUAAGAGAUUAUAUUUAGCCUUCGAUUAAAAUAAAAAUAAUGAAAUGUGCUUUCGACAUUAACAUGUUGUUUAUGAUUUUGAUAAAAAUUAGGGACCUAAAUAUUAUUACCAAUUUCUUUAUUUUCUAUUCGGGCUUUCUUAAUAAGAAGUAUCAUUGCAUGUUGAGUCCUAAUCCUCUUUUGAUUGGCACUUUGCUUUUUCAUGUGGCAAAUCACGAGGUUUCUUUCGCAUCUACUUGCCAUAAAGAUAAAAUAAAAAAUAAAAAUACAACAAAACAAAGUAGUUAACGCGUUCUUCUAUUUUUUUCUCUUUUACAACCAAAAAUUAUUCUCUCUCUUCUUUUUCGCUUUCUUCAUUUUUCUUUAGUCUUUUCAAUUUUUUUUUUCUUUUUUUAUUCAUUUUCCUUUUUAUUAAAUCUGUUCCCAUAGGAAACUUGUUAAUCUUUUGAUUUGCCUUUAAGCAUCCAAGUUUCACUCGAUGGCAACUCACAUAUCUUUCGCCUCGUGAAGGAAGGGGGGAAAAUUUAUUUUGAGUUUGGUAGGAUUAGUAGUAAGGAAGGAUAAAAUGGUAAGAUCAUAAAAAAUAUAACAGUGUAAUAAUGUCAUGAAAGUCUAGAUGUUUUUUAAAAUAUCAGGGGAAUUUCGGUUAGUUUUAUCAAGUAACAUGGAGAUAUUGCUCAUUCCGCCCCGCCCCCCACAGAAGGAUGGUGUAAAUAUUUAUAAUUGUUCCAAUAAAUUUGAUCCAAGCCGAAUCAUGAAAGAUCUCUGACUAUAAAUAUUAUUUCAAAACACUACGUGUGUUUUCAUUUUGGCAUUUAUUGGCAAAUAUUUAAAACAAAGUGUAAAUAAUAUUGGUACAUGAAUAUGCACAUUCAAUAAGGUUGCAUUUGGCAGCUUCUGUUGCACUGUAUUACAUUACAUGAAAACACUACUUUUAUACUAAUUUAUAUUUUGUUGCAAUUUCUAGUUAAAUGUUAAUUUAUAAUUAAAUAAAAAUUUAUUCAAAUAAUAAUAUAAGAUGGUAAUAAACCUAAAUAUUUAUAAAUAAAUGAUAAUAUAUUAUUUUACUUUCAUUACAUAAAAUCAUUUUAAUUAUUUUACUUCAAAUGCGUAAAAAGUAUUUUAAUUUUAUUUAAUAAGUUAUUAUUUACUAAAAUACUAAAUUUGAAAAUAAAUUUAAAUUAAGCAAUUAUUUUUUACAUUAAUAAAUAAAAUAAAAUAAAAUUUAUAAUUUAAUAUUAUAUAAGUUUAUAAUAUAAUAUAUGUUAUAUUAUAUUAUAUAAUUAUAUAGUAUUAUAUUUUUACAAUACAUUAUCAAGAUAUACUAUAUUUUAAUAUGAUUAUACUAUAUUAUAAUAAUUAAUUUAUAGAAAUAAAUUUUAUUAUAAAAUAACAAUGUAGCAUUUUAUUAUUUAAUAAAGUAUAUUAUUAAAUCAUCUUUCUAUUAUAAAAAUUAAUAUAUAUAAAUAAUUAUUUAAUACUUAAUUUCAAAAAUUAAUAAUAAAACCCCGCCCCCUAAAGUGCGAUAUACCAUAAUGUAAUAAAGUUAAUACAAUAUAAUAUAAUACAAUAUGCUAAAUGCACCAUCAACUGUAAAGCAAACCCAUGGUUAUUAGAUUGCCAUGAAUUAGAAAUAUUAUCAAAGAAGUGGAUAAAGCCUAAAUAUUGCCCUACCCCUAGCUGAUAUUAUGCCAUAUUUGUAAGUUUUGGAGAAUCAAUGGUUCUACCUAUAAUUGUGGAUGUCAUUUAAUUGAAAUAGCAAGAGGUUUGGAAUUUGAAUCCAUUUAAUGAGUAGUGCUACACAUUUGAGGUGAAAAAGUGAUUAAAUUACGGUUAGAUUAAAUAAUGAAAAAAUAAAAAAUAACUAUACUUCUAAUUUAAUUAUAUACCAAUUGACCAUUUAAUGAAUAGUGCUACACAUAAAUUUACCUAUUAAGCCGAUCUACUAUUAGAGUACAUACUUCCCUAAAAAAUAAUAGUAACAAUAAAAUCUACUCCGUACAGGUCAACGUUAGAGAAAAUUAAAAAGCGAAUAUGUAUCUAAAUGUUCCAAAGGCUGUUUUGGGGAAUAGGGAUGGAUGAAUGGUUCAACCAGCUCAAUUGAAAUUUCCUUGCAAUGGUUUUUAACUUUAUUUUAUUUGCUUCUGGGUCAAAGUCCAUUUUUUUCAGUGACGAAGAUCACACAGAGACUUUGACCUUGGAAACUAACAAUGAAACAAUUUCCAGGCAACAACUCAUAAUUAACAUUAUGGCAGCUGCUACCAUUGUGAUGAUAUUUGAUUGACAGGGUUAGAGAUGAAUUUUCUACAAAAUUGGAACUUUGCACAUGGGGAGCAUAUAAAAAGAUGAAUUUUCUACAAAAUUGAUUGACAGGGUUAGAGAUGAAUUUUCUACAAAAUUGUGAUGAUAUUUGAUUGACAGGGUUAGAGACGAAUUUUCUACAAAAUUGGAACUUUGCACAUGGGGAGCAUAUAAAAAGAUUAUCUGGAAGAAUAGAAUUUCAAACUUUUGGACAAAAUUUUGUCUGCUAUCUCCUUCCCGAGUGAGAAAAACGCAUGCUUCUAAGGUUAAGGGAGCUAUGUAUAGAAAGUCGAAUAAUUUGAAUCCCAAAUCGUGGUUAACUUUCAAUCAGCAGAACGGCUAGCUAGCAUGUUCAAUAUUACUACAAGUCAUUCGGUUGCCUGUACAAACAACUAAAGUUGAGCUGCAAUGUUC